AAAGUCCGCCAAAUCUUUAAAGUUUUCCAAGUGUUCAAGUCGAUGUCGUCUUCGAGUUGAAGCUUUAUAACUUUCCAAUCUUAAGGUGGACAUAUAAGUCCCUUUGCACCUUGAGUUGGCCUCUUCGCGGGUUUGUCCUUAAAAGGAACUAUAACUUUCCAAUCUUAAGGUGGACAUAUGAGUCCUUUUACACCUUAAGUUGGCCUCUUCACGGGUUUGUCCUUAAAAGGAACUAUAACUUUCCAAUCUUAAGGUGGACAUAUGAGUCCCUUUGCACCUUAAGUUGGCCUCGCCGAUAGUCGAGCCACAUUGAGAGUAAUCU
rnacentral:lncRNA from 1 species